AUUGAACGCUGGCGGCAUGCUUUACACAUGCAAGUCGAACGGUAACAGGCCUUCGGGUGCUGACGAGUGGCGAACGGGUGAGUAAUGCAUCGGAACGUGCCCAGAGGUGGGGGAUAACGCAGCGAAAGCUGUGCUAAUACCGCAUGUGAUCUGAGGAUGAAAGCGGGGGACCAGGCAGCAAUGUUUGGCCUCGCGCCUUUGUAGCGGCCGAUGUCAGAUUAGGUAGUUGGUGGGGUAAAGGCCUACCAAGCCGACGAUCUGUAGCUGGUCUGAGAGGACGACCGGCCACACUGGGACUGAGACACGGCCCAGACUCCUACGGGAGGCAGCAGUGGGGAAUUUUGGACAAUGGGCGCAAGCCUGAUCCAGCAAUGCCGCGUGCGGGAAGAAGGCCUUCGGGUUGUAAACCGCUUUUGUACGGAACGAAAAGGCUCUGGCUAAUACCUGGGGCUGAUGACGGUACCGAAAGAAUAAGCACCGGCUAACUACGUG
rnacentral:rRNA from 1 species